rnacentral:rRNA from 1 species
CCUACGGGAUGCAGCAGUGAGGAAUAUUGGUCAAUGGGCGCGAGCCUGAACCAGCCAAGUCGCGUGAGGGAUGACGGUCCUACGGAUUGUAAACCUCUUUUGCCGGGGAGCAAGCGUGCGUUCGUGAACGCGCGUCGAUAGUACCCGGAGAAAAAGCAUCGGCUAACUCCGGGCCAGCAGCCGCGGUAAUCCGGAGGAUGCGAGCGUUCUCCGGCUUUAUUGGGUUUAAAGGGUGCGUAGGCGGGAUUCCAAGUCAGCGGUAAAAAUGCGGGGCUCAACGCCGUCGAGCCGUUGAAACUGGCGGUCUGGAGUGGGAGAGAAGUAUGCGGAAUGCGCGGUGUAGCGGUGAAAUGCAUAGAUAUCACGCAGAACUCCGAUUGCGAAGGCAGCAUACCGGCGCCCGACUGACGCUGAGGCACGAAAGCGUGGGUAUCGAACAGGAUUAGAUACCCGUGUAGUC